GCGGGCGUGGCGGAAUUGGCAGACGCGCUGGAUUUAGGUUCCAGUACCGUAAGGUGUGGAGGUUCGACUCCUCUCGCCCGUA
rnacentral:tRNA from 1 species